rnacentral:rRNA from 1 species
UACGAAGGGGGCUAGCGUUGCUCGGAAUCACUUGGCGUAAAGGGUGCGUAGGCGGGUCUUUAAGUCGGUGGUGAAAUCCUGGAGCUCAACUCCAGAACUGCCUUCGAUACUGAGAGUCUCGAGUCCGAGAGAGGUGAGUGGAACUGCGAGUGUAGAGGUGAAAUUCGUAGAUAUUCGCAAGAACACCAGUGGCGAAGGCGGCUCACUGGCUCGGUACUGACGCUGAGGUGCGAAAGCGUGGGGAGCAAACAGG